UAAUACCGUAAAUAUGACGUAAAAUUCAAAGAGCUCACAGCAUUUAAAAAGCCCACUGAUUCUUGAUCUUAUUAACUACAAAGGUGACAGCUGAAAUUCACUUUUUGUUUUUCGAGUUGACUAGUUAAGAUACUGAAAUGUUUCUUCAACACAUGAUCUCUUUGUUGCUCCUCAUGCGUUCAAGUCCGAUUGUGUUGACAGACCGGUGUGAAGGUAGCUAUCGAUGUCUGGCUAAUGACUUACUUGCUAAGAAUAUGAAAAUUGCACCGCAGGACACAUGUUCUGUUCUAGUAACAGUUGCUUCAAUGGAAUAUGAGACAUUGUCUUUUGAUACAAAAGAACAGCAGAUGAGUUGCCGUGUCAAGGUAAACAUGGUGAGUAGAUCAACUUUUUUUAUUUGACUAUUUUUGUGUUUGUUGGCUCA
rnacentral:lncRNA from 1 species